GGCAAGAACUCUUGGAGUGAUUCAAUCUCACCUUGCAACGUAUCCAUUUUAUUUAUCUACGGAAAGCUAUCUAUCUCCGCUUAAGCCAGCAUCAAAGAAAAAUCUGCAGAAGAAAUUGGGGUUUCAUCAAUUUCAAAUACGGAAUCAAAUUUUGUGAUGGAGACGUUCCUCUUUAUUUGGGUCAAUGUUGACACCAAGGGGAAUAAAUUUUAGCUGUCUGCAACCCACUUACGGCUCAA